GCCAGGUGUGGUGGUGCACGCCUGUGAUCCCAGCUACAGAGGAGGCUGAGGCAGGAGGAUCACAAGUACCAGGCCAGCCUGGGCAGUUUAGCAAGAGCCUGUCUCCA
rnacentral:sRNA from 1 species